ensembl:piRNA 21ur-1368 ncRNA
UGUUAUUUUGUCUAAAAUUUC